AGAGCGAACGCUGGCGGCAGGCCUAACACAUGCAAGUCGAGCGCCCGUAGCAAUACGGGAGCGGCAGACGGGAUAGUAACACGUGGGAACGCGCCCUUCGGUUCGGAAUAACUCAGGGAAACUUGAGCUAAUACCGGAUACGCCCUUACGGGGAAAGAUUUAUUGCCGAAGGAACGGCCCGCGUCCGAUUAGCUAGUUGGUGAGGUAAUGGCUCACCAAGGCGACGAUCGGUAGCUGGUCUGAGAGGAUGACCAGCAUCACUGGGACUGAGACACGGCCCAGACUCCUACGGGAGGCAGCAGUGGGGAAUAUUGGACAAUGGGCGCAAGCCUGAUCCAGCCAUGCCGCGUGGAUGAUGAAGGCCUUAGGGUUGUAAAGUCCUUUUAACUGGGAAGAUAAUGACGGUACCCGUAGAAUAAGCCCGGCUAACUUCGCGCCAGCAGCCGC
rnacentral:rRNA from 1 species